GUGGGGAAUAUUGCACAAUGGAGGAAACUCUGAUGCAGCAACGCCGCGUGGAGGAUGACGCAUUUCGGUGUGUAAACUCCUUUUAUAUGGGAAGAUAAUGACGGUACCAUAUGAAUAAGCACCGGCUAACUCCGUGCCAGCAGCCGCGGUAAUACGGAGGGUGCAAGCGUUACUCGGAAUCACUGGGCGUAAAGCGCGCGCAGGCGGCCUUUUAAGUUGGAUGUGAAAGCCUACGGCUCAACCGUAGAACUGCAUCCAAAACUAUUGGGCUAGAGUGUGGGAGAGGAAGAUGGAAUUAGUUGUGUAGGGGUAAAAUCCGUAGAGAUAACUAGGAAUACCAAAAGCGAAGGCAAUCUUCUGGAACAUUACUGACGCUGAGGCGCGAAAGCGUGGGGAGCAAACAGGAUUAGAAACCCUAGUAGUCC
rnacentral:rRNA from 1 species